rnacentral:lncRNA from 1 species
UGGGAUUACAGGCAUGAGCCACAGCACCUGGCUGAAAAUACUCUUUGUUUUGAGGGAACAGACAUCAUUUUAAUCAAGGGGAGGAUAAUGUGAUAUCCUCAAAGAAGACUGACUUUAUGAUACUGUGGCAAGGAGUCGGUAAGGAGCAUAACCACUGCAAAAGGCCACACUGUGGCCAAGCCCAGGGCUCAGGGCUGUGCCUGUUCUUGGGCUGAGAAAAGAGUGCUCAGAUGGGUUCAUAAAGAUGAGCACCUGGGCUUGUUUGAGCCUGGGCUCUGCCACCAGCCGGAUUCCUGACAGCAGGAGAAGAAUGACAUAGCCCAAUGAAGAUAGGAAACUAUUCUGGACUUUGGAAGAAUAUGUAAAAAAAACAAAAAAAAAAACAAAAAAAAAAAAACAAGUUUUCUGUAUUUCUUCUAGAUGGGAGAAGACAAGGAAUGAAAAAGGAAACCAAGAUAAUUUCAUACUAGAGAGGUCUAGGCUCUGGAAAGGAGGUGACUAAACCCCUGGAUAGAUCUGGAGAUUCUGAGAUCAGGGAGUAUCAGUGACACACCUCGCAGACCUGAUCCUUCCUGAAACCAGUCUAGCAAACUGGGGAAAUCAAGGAAAAUGAAAUGACUAUGUGGUAUAUCUGAGAAGAUGGGCCAGAGGCACCUUUGUAGAGUUACCCAUAGCAUAGAAAGAUCGAGAACAGAAGGAUAUAUUCUGUGUGUCCAAGCCUAGUGCAGACAUGGGGCGUGAAGCCAGGGCCCACACACAAAAGGCCCUGUGGCUGCCUUGAAGGGGCUGCAGGGGGUACCUGGAGGAAUAGAGGAAGACACCAAAGACAAAAUGCUCACUCUUGAACCAUGAGCCUCUACAUAAAAAGGUCCUUGAACUUACUGGGACUAAGUUUUCAUUACCUGACAAAAUUGGGAAUCAAAGUAUAGAUUAAUAUUAGUUAUAGAAAAUAAAAAAAAUUCGUACCCAUCUGUGAAUUUGUGGAUUUAUCAUAACCAAUACAAUGGAAACCUGGGUUUCCCAGAAAGCCCAGUGGAACGAUUUUUGUCAGGUCAUCCUUAUUGGUGCAGUUAAAAAAAUAGAUGGUCUUUCUGCCAUAAAUUGGCAUUGCCUUCCAAGGAUUCUACAUUAGUUUGCUUGGGCUACAAAAUAUGACAGACUGGGUGGUUUCAAAACAGACAUUUAUUUUCUCACAGUUCUGGAGAUGAAAACCCUGGAUUCCAAGUGCCAACAUGACAGAUUUCUGAUAAGGCCUCUCUUCCUGGCUUGUGGAUGGCAACCUUCUUACUGUGUCUGUUCCCACAGGGUCUUUCUUCUCUGGGGUGCAAGGACCCUUGAUCUUUCAGGGAAACAGACGGAACUUUCUUCUCCUCUACUCCUCCUUCUUUAAGAACACAAUCCUAUUGGAUUAUGACCCCAUCUAGCUCUAAUUACCUCCCCACUCAUUUAGCCCUAAUUACCUCCCCACAGGUCCCUUCUCUGAAUACAAUCACCUUGGGGGUUCGGGCAUCAACAUAGGAAUUUUAGGGGAGACACUAUUCAGUCCACAGGAGACCCUAUGAUUCCAGGUCACCUUGCAGAGCAUAAUUGAUAAUUUGGAACAUUCCAAAGUGAUCAUUCUUUAUUAUUCUCUAUGUGCCCCUUUGAAUCUCUUCCCCAGCCUUCUCUCCCUCCCAGUUUUGAGCCCCAUACAGCUAAUGUCCAUGACUGCCCAUCCAGAGACCCAUUGCUUUUGGCUUUCCAAUUGGGUUCCCCAAUUUCUGCACUGGCAGAGUUAGAAAGAGGAAAGAAAGAGAGUUUGGGGUAUUUAUUCCUCCUGCUCAUCUUCAAUCAAUAGCCACAGCUCCUGAGGGGCAGACAUCCACUUCCUUGGCCACAGUUCUUGCUGGGUUGGAGUAACAACUUCCUCCUCUUUCCCCUUCAGCAUAGGAGUGGCAAUGCUUUUGCUGUUGGCGGUCCCUGGGUAUUGCAUGGUUGUUUAUUAGUCCAUUAACCCUGCUAUACUUCUAUAGUCUCUUCAUUAAAUUCUCUUUAAUAAACCUUUCAAGUAUGCCCAGGCUCUGAUUUACACAGCAAUAUUGCAAAGUUCCAGUCAAGCUCCACCUCACUAGCUGAGUGGAGCUCUCUGAUGCCACUGAUGGAGCUGUUGUAAAGAAGCAAACCUCAAAAGGAUGAGUGAUUGGCCACUCAGGCCUCUCUGUGAGGCUAAGAUAGCUCGACAUCAUGACGGAGCUCUUUCCUGGGGCAAGAUGGAGCAAAGUGCCUGGUGGCUUGUUGGUGCAACCAUGCCUAUCUCAGGUCACAAAGCAGAAGUAGGGGUCACAUUUAGUAAAGGACCACAGCUCUGCAGCUUUGCUGAGAACAUUAUUCCAGGUGGUGGUGUGAUCUUGAGCUGGAACCCUAGCAGAAUGAUGGUGGGUGACAAAGAAAGGCAAGGUACACAGAGGAUAAGAAGAUGAACUAACAUUUGCCCUCAAGGAGCUCACAGUCCAGUGGAAAGAUAGGCCAGUAACCAGUUACAAAACAAGGAGAUGAAAAUUCGAAUAGAAACGUGUACUAAGGACUUUCAGGGGAAAAAAGGAAGGAGCAUUUUCCUGCUUUAUGCAGAGUCAUGGAGAACUUUAUGCUUUAUGCAGGUUUUAACCUGAGUAAGAAACCCUGGGAGGAUGCUCCUGGUAGGUGAGAGGGAUGUGCAAACUACCUUGGCAUGAAGGAGGUGGGAUAUUCCCAGACCAUGUGUUGCAUGAACCAGCAGAGGAGGGGAAGGCCACAAUAGUCAAUAUACUCUUGGAAAUACCUUAGAGGACUGACAUAUCAUUUCUUACUGUAUCCAACAGAUAUUGUUUUCAUUACUGAAGCAAGAUUGUGUUUCUUCAUCUAAGCAGCAGAUGAAGAAUUGGCUUCAGUUUUGAAGUCAUGCUCAACAAAUCAUGUUCAUCUUCAAACUCUAGGCUGAGUGGUAACAUGCGUACACUAGGGAAGGAGUGAAGGCUCAUAAGGGUAAUGACUCCUAGCUCUCAGCCCACCACAUCUAAGGGAAGAGAGCGUGUUCAUCUAGCACAGCAGGAGUCAGAAAACACCAUUCAUUUAAAUUGUCGCUUCCUGCUGAGCGAGGUGGCUCACACCGGUAAUCCCAACCCUUUGGGAGGCCAAGGCUAGAGGAUUGCUUGAGCUUGAGCCCAGGAGUUCAGGAUCAGCCUGGGCUACAUGGCGAGACCCCAUCUCUUCAAAAAUUUUGUGAAAACUAGCUGGGCAAGGUGGCAUAUAUCUGUGGUCCCCGUGACUCAGGAAGCUGAGGCGGGAGGAUCACUUGAGCCAAAGAGGUCAAGGCCGUGGUGCGCUAUGAUGGCGCCCCUACACGCCAGCCUAAGUGAUAGAAAAAGACCCUGUCUCUAGAAGAAACAAAUAUAUAAAGAAAGAAGCACUUCUUCUCCAUAUUCCUGUUUCUCUCAUUCCAACAGUCUCCCUGCAUUUGCCUAUGAUGUGAUCACAGAUGGUGGACACUAGGGUUUCUAUUUGGCCUGAGGGAGGGUAGAGAAGGGGGCACAGGGUGGGGACGUGGGAAGUUGACCAAAUGUGGCAUCGUAAUGCAUCUCGUUGCCGUGAUGGGUCGUUUGGAGACUCUCUUAAGUGCUGGGAAUCUGGGAGAGGAUCUGCAGGCC